CUACAAGGCACAGAAGCUGCAGAGCAACACAAAGGAUCCUGUGGGCUUGAACAAGGGGCUCGAACAAAAAGCAGUUACUCCACAGAAGACCAGAGGGGUCCUCCCAGCAUUCUGGCUCUAUUAAAAUGAUGAAAGUCAUCAACCUUAAAAGAAGCAAAAAAGAAGAGAAUUAGCUCCUCUGUGUAAUUUUUUUAAAUAUAGCAUCAAACCAUCUUCCCGUCAGCAACAGGCACUGCAGUAUUGAAGAUCAUCACAUGAGGGCAGAGGGCGUAAAAAAGGAUGGUGUGUUGAGACCAGAAGCAGCAGCAGUCCUCGACAUCAACUACAACUUUCCUUCGCACAGUGCAUACCCUCUGAUAUACUGAACCCAACGCCUAUCCUCCAGCCCCCUAAGAACUAGAGAGGGAGCCUCACAACAUUCCAAUUUAAUCCUUCAGAAAAUUCAUUACUCUUCAAAGUUGUCUGUGGUUUUGUGACAACGAUAUGACUAGGUGCAAAAUGGCUUGCAACUAAUUAACAAACAUAGAAGCAUCCAACAAACAUAUACGUGUACAAUCUGAGGAUUUAGGGAUGAAAUCAGUUAUCCAGGUUAGAUAUCAACAAAAGAGCAGUAACUAUAAAGUUUCAUGAAGAAAGUGGCUGUUGAGGUGUGGAUUAUGAAAGUAAGACUGACAACAAGAAAUGAUUUUGUUAUAAUCAAGAAGUGAAACUAAAUAAAUGUUCUUUAAAUUGAUGGAUAAAUAAGAAAGAAUUUAUUUACAACAGUAAAUAAAUCCAAUACCUGUUAUAAAUAAGAUAAAGCUGGCUAUAAAUUCACAUUUUCAUGUGAGCGUUUUGAAGUAUGUGGACAUAAAAAACACACACCUCAAGUAUACUUCUCAAUGAUUUCUGAUAAAGAACACACCUUUGUAACCAGCACCUGGUGUAAAACCAGAAACAGAACAUUACCAGAUUCCUAAACAAGCCUUCUUUGUGCCCCUUUUUAGUCACUACCCUCCCCCAUUCAAGGUAACUUCUAUCUUGACUUCUAACACCAUACUUUUAGUUUUGCCUAUUGUUAACUUCAUAUAAAUAGAAUGAUACUGUAUAUUUUGUGUGUGUUUGGCUUCUUCUGCUCCAACUUUUGUUGGUAAGGUUUAUAGAGAUUGUUAAAUAUAGCUAUAGUUCAUUUAUUUCUAUUACUAUGUAGUAUACUUGG